rnacentral:rRNA from 1 species
UACAGAGGGGGCCAGCGUUAUUCGGAAUUAUUGGGCGUAAAGGGCGCGUAGGCGGCCAUGCGUGUCUUCCGUGAAAUCCCUCGGCUUAACCGAGGACGUGCGGAAGAAACUGCAAGGCUCGAGUCCGGAAGAGGGGGGCGGAAUUCCCAGUGCAGCGGUGAAAUGCGUAGAUAUUGGGAGGAACACCAGUGGCGAAGGCGGUCCCCUGGGCCGGAACUGACGCUGAGGCGCGAAAGCGUGGGUAGCAAACGGG